CACUUUGGCUCUUCGCCAGCGCUAUAAAACCAAUUAUAGAGCAAGGAGGUUGAACUGUUUCAAGCCCCCUCUCCUUCCUUUCUUGAAUGAUCAAAACAGGCAGAGAAUUUGUGGAGGGCAGUUUCAAGGCCGCUCCUGAUUAAAACAGACGGAUACAGACUUGAUUAUUGCUUUAUCUCCCCAGAUUACGAGACUUUAGACCAAACUUCUUUUAAUCGACGCUUUUUUUUAAUAGAGACACAGCCUUACGAGUGGAUUUAUAUAUGUUUUAGCCUAUAUUCAGGAAUUAAAACUUGUAUUUUUUCGAGCGCUGAGGGUCGGGCGAGCAUCCUGUGUUUCUCGACUCACUUUUAAGCACUUUUCAAGCACAGAUGCCCUUUGGAUUGUUGUUGUUUUUCACUCGGAGGGAGGCUCAGUGUGAGCUGACUCACUGUGGGAAUGUCUCCAUGAAACUAACCGGCUAUUCCUGAAGCUUCACGGCUGCCUGGAUAAGUUAUUAAUGACCGACGAAACGGCGAUAAAUAGCCUCUGCCUCCACUUUUGUUCACGUUAGCUACUGCUGGCUUUAACCCAAGAAGACGUACAACGACAUGUCUGUGUCUGUCCCUCUCUUUUCUCUCCUUUUUUGGGGCUGUUGUUCAGCAGUAAGUCAGAGACUCCUUUGUUCUUGGUGCUGAGGCGCGCGCGACUUGUUGUUGUUUUUGUUUUGUUUUUGGACGCGUUUAAUUGUUCGCUCGUGACAAUCACUGCCUGCUCUUGUUAAGGUGGGUGCUGAAAUGCAUUUCAUGCAAAUAAACAUGAUCAGCAUA